rnacentral:tRNA from 1 species
ACCUGGAUGGCUUAGUCAGAAGAGCACAGGACUCUUGAUCUUGGGGUUGUGAGUUUGAGUCCCAUGUUGGGUG